rnacentral:rRNA from 1 species
UACGUAGGGGGCAAGCGUUGUCCGGAUUUAUUGGGCGUAAAGAGCGUGUAGGCGGUCAGGUAGGUCCGUUGUGAAAACUCGAGGCUCAACCUCGAGACGCCGAUGGAAACCAUCUGACUAGAGUCCGGAAGAGGAGAGUGGAAUUCCUGGUGUAGCGGUGAAAUGCGCAGAUAUCAGGAAGAACACCCGUGGCUAAGGCGGCUCUCUAGUACGGUACUGACGCUGAGACGCGAAAGCGUGGGGAGCGAAACAGG